AUUGAACGCUGGCGGCAGGCCUAACACCUGCAAGUCGAGCGGAUGAAGGGAGCUUGCUCCUGGAUUCAGCGGCGGACGGGUGAGUAAUGCCUAGGAAUCUGCCUGGUAGUGGGGGAUAACGUCCGGAAACGGGCGCUAAUACCGCAUACGUCCUGAGGGAGAAAGUGGGGGAUCUUCGGACCUCACGCUAUCAGAUGAGCCUAGGUCGGAUUAGCUAGUUGGUGGGGUAAAGGCCUACCAAGGCGACGAUCCGUAACUGGUCUGAGAGGAUGAUCAGUCACACUGGAACCGAGACACGGUCCAGACUCCUACGGGAGGCAGCAGUGGGGAAUAUUGGACAAUGGGCGAAAGCCUGAUCCAGCCAUGCCGCGUGUGUGAAGAAGGUCUUCGGAUUGUAAAGCACUUUAAGUUGGGAGGAAGGGCAGUAAGUUAAUACCUUGCUGUUUUGACGUUACCAACAGAAUAAGCACCGGCUAACUUCGUG
rnacentral:rRNA from 1 species